rnacentral:rRNA from 1 species
CUACGGGUUGCAGCAGUGGGGAAUAUUGGACAAUGGGGGCAACCCUGAUCCAGCGAUGCCGCGUGAGUGAUGAAGGCCUUAGGGUUGUAAAACUCUUUCAGAUGGGAAGAUAAUGACGGUACCAUCAGAAGAAGCUCCGGCUAACUCCGUGCCAGCAGCCGCGGUAAUACGGAGGGAGCUAGCGUUGUUCGGAAUUACUGGGCGUAAAGCGCGCGUAGGCGGCUUGGCAAGUAGAGGGUGAAAUCCCGGGGCUUAACCUCGGAACUGCCUUCUAAACUGCUGAGCUAGAAUCCUGGAGAGGUGAGUGGAAUUCCUAGUGUAGAGGUGAAAUUCGUAGAUAUUAGGAAGAACACCAGUGGCGAAGGCGACUCACUGGACAGGUAUUGACGCUGAGGUGCGAAAGCGUGGGGAGCAAACAGGAUUAGAUACCCUUGUAGUC